rnacentral:tmRNA from 1 species
GGGGAUGAUCGGCCUAGACAUUUGGUUUCUUCUUAUAUGUGCAAAGUCGAAAUGAGUAAUUCGUAAAAAGGCUUAAUAAAGAUAAGUGCAAACUUGUCACAAAAAGCAAAGGCUGUGGUUUCACCAUACUUUGCUCCAGCAUUCGCUUUAGCUUAAGCUGGCGGUCAAUCUGUUGAUGUUUGGUAAACAGAAUGAUUGUCAUAUCACCAAACUAGAAAAUAAAACUUCUUCGCUUUAUUUUCAAAAUCAAGAAGAUCGAGAUUUUAAGGUUUUGUUUAUUUAUUACUUAACUUCUUUAAAAACCAAAAAAUAUCCUACACUUUGUAGACUCAUAUAAGAACGCUAUUUGCACGCGAGUUCGAUUCUCGCCACUUCCACAA